UACGUAGGUGGCAAGCGUUGUCCGGAUUUACUGGGCGUAAAGAGCGCGCAGGCGGUCGUGCAAGUCGCGUGUGAAAGCCCCCGGCUCAACUGGGGAGGGUCACGCGAUACUGCUCGACUUGAAGGCAGGAGAGGGAAGCAGAAUUCCCGGUGUAGUGGUGAAAUGCGUAGAUAUCGGGAGGAAUACCAGUGGCGAAGGCGGCUUCCUGGCCUGUUCUUGACGCUGAGGCGCGAAAGCUAGGGUAGCAAACGGGG
rnacentral:rRNA from 1 species